rnacentral:rRNA from 1 species
GACGAACGCUGGCGGCGUGCUUAACACAUGCAAGUCGAACGAUGAAGAAAAGAAUCGCAGCUUCGGCAGAAAUUCAUUUCGGAUUAGUGGCAGACGGGUGAGUAACGCGUGAGCAACCUACCUCUUACAAAGGGAUAGCCUCGGGAAACCGGGAUUAAUACCAUAUAACAUUGCGACGAAGCAUUUCGAUGCAAUCAAAGCUACGGCGGUAAGAGAUGGGCUCGCGUCCCAUUAUCCGGAUGGUGAGGUAACGGCUCACCAUAGUGACGAUGGGUAACCGGCCUGAGAGGGUGAACGGUCACACUGGAACUGAGACACGGUCCAGACUCCUACGGGAGGCAGCAGUGGGGAAUAUUGCACAAUGGAGGGAACUCUGAUGCAGCGACGCCGCGUGAGUGAUGAAGGAAUUCGUUUCGUAAAACUCUGCUCUAUGGGAAGAAAAGGACUGUACCAUAGGAGAAAGCUCCGGCUAAAUACGU